rnacentral:rRNA from 1 species
GACGAACGCUGGCGGCGUGCCUAAUACAUGCAAGUAGAACGCUGAAGGAGGAGCUUGCUUCUCCGGAUGAGUUGCGAACGGGUGAGUAACGCGUAGGUAACCUGCCUGGUAGCGGGGGAUAACUAUUGGAAACGAUAGCUAAUACCGCAUAACAGUAGAUAUCGCAUGAUAUCUGCUUGAAAGGUGCAAUUGCAUCACUACCAGAUGGACCUGCGUUGUAUUAGCUAGUUGGUGAGGUAACGGCUCACCAAGGCGACGAUACAUAGCCGACCUGAGAGGGGGAUCGGCCACACUGGGACUGAGACACGGCCCAGACGCCUACGGGAGGCAGCAGUAGGGAAUCUUCGGCAAUGGACGGAGGUCUGACCGAGCAACGCCGCGUGAGUGAAGAAGGUUUUCGGAUCGUAAAGCUCUGUUGUAAGAGAAGAACGAGUGUGAGAGUGGAAAGUUCACACUGUGACGGUAUCUUACCAGAAAGGGACGGCUAACUACGUG